CCUGGAGUGAGGUUGCUUUCUCCGCUGGCUGCUCCCUCUCCUGCCUUGACCCCUGCAGUAAGGUGGACAAAGUUUCAGAAAAGAAGGGUAGAGGGACAUGUGGAGCUGGACACUGCACUGAGGGACAGAGUUCUCCAGACCCUGAACUUGAGUUCCUAUGGUCAAUGCUAAAGGUCAACUGUAUGAAGAGGUUAGCCCAUCUUCCGUGAGAGGUCUCCAUCAUGGGUGCCUAUCAUUCACUUCCAGGAAGAUGAGAUGAUAGCUUUGGCUGUGAGAGACUGUUUUGGACCACACACAUACCUGAGACAUAGCUGUGUCGACGCAAGGGCCCAUCUGAUGAAGGGAAGUCUUUACUGUGGGCAGAACUUCAGGGAGUACAUGCGCCUCUGCAGGGAAGCUGGAAACAGAGCCUCUGAGCUGACCUCCUAACUCCAGAGCUGGUGCCCCAGAGUUCAACAUGGAGGAUAGUCAAGAUCCAAACUUCACCGUGAAGACAAAUGCCCUAAGAGUGUGCCCGCCAUUAUCACCAUCCACAGGGCUGUGACCCAAACCGCCAACGUUUGCAGGAAGCUCCGCUGGUCUCUUCUUCCAGAAUUUGUUUGACCAGAGAAGCCAUGGAAAGGAAAUGUCCCAGAAGAAGGACAAGAGGACCAACCAAAAUGGGGGAGCUGGAGCUAAAGAUCCAGACCCGGGAUGUGAACUGGAGCAGUUGGUGGAAACUGGCCAAAGCUAACAGAGUGGACCCUUGUCAGCCUAGACUCACCAAAGGCCUCCAAGCAGACAAGACUGGGACAGUUUUCCUCCUAGGGUGCUGUGUUCUGCACACGGUGAUCUGCGCCGUCAUGGAGGCUUUGUCUGACGGUGCCCCGGAACAGAACACUUCCCCAUGCAAAACAUAAAAUCAACAAAGCA